AUUGAACGCUGGCGGCAGGCCUAACACAUGCAAGUCGAGCGGAUGAGAGGAGCUUGCUUCUCGAUUCAGCGGCGGACGGGUGAGUAAUGCCUAGGAAUCUGCCUGGUAGUGGGGGACAACGUUUCGAAAGGAACGCUAAUACCGCAUACGUCCUACGGGAGAAAGCAGGGGACCUUCGGGCCUUGCUCUAUCAGAUGAGCCUAGGUCGGAUUAGCUAGUUGGUGAGGUAAUGGCUCACCAAGGCGACGAUCCGUAACUGGUCUGAGAGGAUGAUCAGUCACACUGGAACUGAGACACGGUCCAGACUCCUACGGGAGGCAGCAGUGGGGAAUAUUGGACAAUGGGCGAAAGCCUGAUCCAGCCAUGCCGCGUGUGUGAAGAAGGUCUUCGGAUUGUAAAGCAUUUUAAGUUGGGAGGAAGGGUUGUAGAUUAAUACUCUGCAAUUUUGACGUUACCGACAGAAUAAGCACCGGCUAACUCUGUGCCAGCCGCCGCCGUAAAAC
rnacentral:rRNA from 1 species